rnacentral:tRNA from 1 species
GGUAGGGUAUCCAAGUGGCUGACGGAACUGGUCUUGAAAACCAGCAAGGGGGUAACUCCUUCGUGGGUUCGAAUCCCACCCCUACCGCCA